UCGCCGGAGCCCGCCGGAGCCUGCCCGGUCUCGGUUCCCCGCCUGCGGCCCGAGGUACCUUCGGCCCCGCCUUCCUUGGCAACUUCGGGCUCCUCUGCCCUGGUACGGACCGGAGGUGUUUGUCACGCCAGGUCACCUCUCCACGUCGCGAUUUCCUCGCAGCUCUCGCGGUGCCCCAGGAACACGUCACAGCCAUGAAGUCUAUUCCUAGACUACAGGACUCUGGAAAGAAAGAGCUGCAGCAAACCAAGCACUGAAGGUCAAUUGCAAAUGCCAGAUCCAUCGCUGAGAAAACAGCAUCAGCAUCUGAACUCUGAGAAGCAAGGAUAAGUUGCCGCAAACUCUCAU